rnacentral:rRNA from 1 species
GACGAACGCUGGCGGCGUGCCUAAUACAUGCAAGUCGAACGCUUCUUUCCUCCCGAGUGCUUGCACUCAAUUGGAAAGAGGAGUGGCGGACGGGUGAGUAACACGUGGGUAACCUACCCAUCAGAGGGGGAUAACACUUGGAAACAGGUGCUAAUACCGCAUAACAGUUUAUGCCGCAUGGCAUAAGAGUGAAAGGCGCUUUCGGGUGUCGCUGAUGGAUGGACCCGCGGUGCAUUAGCUAGUUGGUGAGGUAACGGCUCACCAAGGCCACGAUGCAUAGCCGACCUGAGAGGGUGAUCGGCCACACUGGGACUGGGACACGGCCCAGACUCCUACGGGAGGCAGCAGUAGGGAAUCUUCGGCAAAGGACGAAAGUCUGACCGAGCAACGCCGCGUGAGUGAAGAAGGUUUUCGGAUCGUAAAACUCUGUUGUUAGAGAAGAACAAGGACGUUAGUAACUGAACGUCCCCUGACGGUAUCUAACCAGAAAGCCACGGCUAACUACGUG